CCCCGGCUCAACCGGGGAGGGUCAUUGGAAACUGGGGAACUUGAGUGCAGAAGAGGAGAGUGGAAUUCCACGUGUAGCGGUGAAAUGCGUAGAGAUGUGGAGGAACACCAGUGGCGAAGGCGACUCUCUGGUCUGUAACUGACGCUGAGGAGCGAAAGCGUGGGGAGCGAACAGGAUUAGAUACCCUGGUAGUCCACGCCGUAAACGAUGAGUGCUAAGUGUUAGGGGGUUUCCGCCCUUUAGUGCUGCAGCUAACGCAUUAAGCACUCCGCCUGGGGAGUACGGUCGCAAGACUGAAACUCAAAGGAAUUGACGGGGGCCCGCACAAGCGGUGGAGCAUGUGGUUUAAUUCGAAGCAACGCGAAGAACCUUACCAGGUCUUGACAUCCUCUGACAAUCCUAGAGAUAGGACUUCCCCUUCGGGGGCAGAGUGACAGGUGGUGCAUGGUUGUCGUCAGCUCGUGUCGUGAGAUGUUGGGUUAAGUCCCGCAACGAGCGCAACCCUUGAUCUUAGUUGCCAGCAUUCAGUUGGG
rnacentral:rRNA from 1 species